rnacentral:misc_RNA from 1 species
GCUCCAAAGGCGAAAUUGUUGGAAUGGUUGGCACGUCAGGAUAGGUUAUGGAUGAAAAAUUGGUUGUCUUCCAUUGGUAUUCUAGAUCCUUCGCAACAUAUCUGUCCUCGUUGUAUGGUACAAGGAGAAACAACGGCUCAUCUUUCCUAAACUGCCCCUGAAUGUUUGGACUUGGAUUCUAAGAUAGCGGUAUAUUAAUUUUUGAUUGCUGAGCCCCAUUUUAUGUCCCAUUGUAGAGUGGAAGACUUUAGCCUAUGGGUCUUUUCAUAGACUCAGUUUGGACAUCCUCAUCCACUUUCCUUUUGGUCUGCUUCAUCUGAUUGUGUGAAAUGGCAUUUGAUUGUGUGAAACGGAAGGGGCUAGGUUGCAAUUCUCCUCAUCCACUUUCCUUUUGCUCUGCUU